rnacentral:rRNA from 1 species
GAUUGUAUUGCGGGCUGGAACCUCUCGGGGUUAAGCCUUGCUGAAUUAUUCACCCUUGUCUUUUGCGUACUUCUUGUUUCCUUGGUGGGUUCGCCCACCACUAGGACAAACAUAAACCUUUUGUAAUUGCAAUCAGCGUCAGUAACAAAUUAAUAAUUACAACUUUCAACAACGGAUCUCUUGGUUCUGGCAUCGAUGAAGAACGCAGCGAAAUGCGAUAAGUAGUGUGAAUUGCAGAAUUCGGUGAAUCAUCGAAUCUUUGAACACUCAUUGGGCCCUUUGGUAUUCCAAAGGGCAUGCCUGUUCUAGCGUCAUUUGUACCCUCAAGCUUUGCUUGGGGUUGGGCGCCUUGUCUCUAGCUUUGCUGGAGACUCGCCUUAAAGUAAUUGGCACCCGGCCUACUGGUUUCGGAGCGCAGCACAAGUCGCACUCUCUAUCAGCAAAGGUCUAGCAUCCAUUAAGCCUUUUUUCAACUUUUGACCUCGGAUCAGGUAGGGAUACCCGCUGAACUUAACCAUAUCAAAAACGGAAGGAAUGACCUCAAAUCAGGUAGGACCUACCCGCUGAACUUAAGCAUAUCAAUAAGCGGGAGGGAAA